rnacentral:rRNA from 1 species
GAGAACCGUAAUCGGAUUACUGGGCGUAAGCGUGCGUAGGCGGUUCGGUAAAGUCAGAUGUGAAAGCCCUGGGCUCAACGAUGGGAACUGCAUUUGAAACUGUCGGACUAGAGUUUGGUAAAGGGAAGU